GGGGCGGGGCGCGGGGGAGGCGCCCGCGGGCUGUUUAAAGGGACAGAGCGCCGACCGCGCGCGCGCGCGCGCACUCGUCGCCAGUUUUGAAUGGCAAAUCGCGUGACUGAGCAGCCUUGGAAUAAGUACCACCGGGCUCUGGUGCCUGCUGCCCACCGACUUACAGCCAUGUGGAGGAGGCUCUUGCAAUAUAGAGGCCCAGUGGGAUCCAGGCAUGUGACAGUGUCUCCAGACAUGGUCAACAGUACUCACUGUUUGCUCAAGGCUAUGCUCUCUUGAACAGAGAUCUGGUUUUAAUACAAGUGCUUAGAAAUAAAACCGGCCACACACCUCAAAGUACCCAGGA